AGAACGAACGCUGGCGGCAUGCCUAAUACAUGCAAGUCGAACGAACUCUUCGGAGUUAGUGGCGCACGGGUGCGUAACGCGUGGGAAUCUGCCCCUUGGUUCCGGAAUAACAGUUGGAAACGACUGCUAAUACCGGAUGAUGACGAAAGUCCAAAGAUUUAUCGCCAAGGGAUGAGCCCGCGUAGGAUUAGCUAGUUGGUGAGGUAAAGGCUCACCAAGGCAACGAUCCUUAGCUGGUCUGAGAGGAUGAUCAGCCACACUGGGACUGAAGACACGGCCCAGGACUCCGUACGGGAGGCCAGCAGUAGGGAAUAGUUGGACAAGUGGGCGAAAGCCUAGAUCCAGCAAUGCCGCGUGAGUGAUGGAAGGCCGUUAGGUUAGUAAAGUCUCUUUACCGAGUA
rnacentral:rRNA from 1 species